UAGAGGAUGAUGACUGUGCCUAAAUGGCACUGAAUGAGCCACCGACUCUUCCAUCGGUGGUUGCUACUAUUGCUGUAUCUAUUGUUGUUGGAUGCUACGGACCACCUUUGUCAACACGUUCAUUUGCUGCAUUAAAGCAGCAAUUUGUGCAUCCAUAGUAAUUACUGGACAUGAAGAGCUGGGCUCUGCCAAUGAAAGUGGAGGAGGAAGAUCUUUCCGAUGAAAAGAUUGCCUCACUGAUCCUGUUGAAUAUUGAGCUCUAGUCUUAGCCAUGAUUGCUUGUAUUCAAUCCCUAUCUAGCGCGCUAAUCUAUUACAGCCAAUCCUCUGUUACGCCCGUUGUCGGUGAAGAGCACCUGCAAAAUGAAGUCUACACUAAUCGAAAUUAUGUCCGAUGGAGAUUCUCUAAUACUUAAGUUAGUGGAGAGUGGUGAACAACAAAUAAGUAU
rnacentral:lncRNA from 1 species